UACGUAGGUGGCAAGCGUUGUCCGGAUUUACUGGGCGUAAAGCGCGUUCAGGCGGUUUGGCAAGUCGGGCAUGAAAUCUCUCGGCUCAACCGGGAGAGGUUGUCCGAUACUGCUGGACUUGAGGGCAGUAGAGGGUGGUGGAAUUCCGGGUGUAGUGGUGAAAUGCGCAGAUAUUGGGAAGAACACCAGUGGCGAAGGCGGUUCUCUGGGACGGUACUGACGCUGAGACGCGAAAGCGUGGGGAGCGAACAGG
rnacentral:rRNA from 1 species